GGAAUGUCGGAUUUUUAUUUUCGGCGUAUCCCCAAAAAGCCUCUAGCCUUUUUGUUUGUUUUUUUAUCAAGUCUUAUUUUUCGUUGUCUUUCUGCUUCUUUUUUCUUGUCUUUUCCCAUAGCUUUUUGAUUUGUUGUCGACUUGUUGUUGUUUGCGAGAUUCCCGCCGUUUUGUGUUUCCACUUGUUUAUUUGUUGCUUCCACUUUUGGAAAAUGAGCGUUAAGCAUUUAUUAAUAAUAGUUACCAAUGAACAUUGUGCAAUAUUUAUUUGUGUUUAGCACGCUUAAUAUGAUUAAUUUCGACCUCUGUCUUCCCACACUUUCUGCAUAUUUUUCAGAUUAUUUUUAUGGCUACAGGAAAUUAACAAUGCAUAGUAUUGUG